rnacentral:rRNA from 1 species
UACGUAGGGACCAAGCGUUGUUCGGAAUCACUGGGCGUAAAGGGCGCGUAGGCGGCUUGAUAAGUCGGGGGUGAAAUCCUGGAGCUCAACUCCAGAACUGCCUUCGAUACUGGCGAUCUAGAGUCCGGAAGAGGUGAGUGGAACUCCUAGUGUAGAGGUGGAAUUCGUAGAUAUUAGGAAGAACACCAGUGGCGAAGGCGGCUCACUGGUCCGGUACUGACGCUGAGGUGCGAAAGCGUGGGGAGCAAACAGGG